GAUGAACGCUGGCGGCGUGCCUAAUACAUGCAAGUCGAGCGAACAGACGAGGAGCUUGCUCCUCUGACGUUAGCGGCGGACGGGUGAGUAACACGUGGAUAACCUACCUAUAAGACUGGGAUAACUUCGGGAAACCGGAGCUAAUACCGGAUAAUAUAUUGAACCGCAUGGUUCAUUAGUGAAAGACGGUUUUGCUGUCACUUAUAGAUGGAUCCGCGCCGCUUUAGCUAGUUGGUAAGCUAACGGCUUACCAAGGCAACGAUGCGUAGCCGACCUGAGAGGCUGAUCGCCCACACGGGAACGUGAACGCGGUCCAGACUCCUACGGGAGGCAGCAGUAGGGAAUCUUCCGCAAUGGGCGAAAGUAUGACGGAGCAACGCCGCGUGAGUGAUGAAGGUCUUCGGAUCGUAAAACUCUGUUAUUAGGGAAGAACAAAUGUGUCAGUAACUAUGCACGUCUUGACGGUACCUAAUCAGAAAGCCACGGCUAACUACGUG
rnacentral:rRNA from 1 species